rnacentral:rRNA from 1 species
AACACGUGAGCAACCUGCCUCUGAGAGGGGGAUAGCUUCUGGAAACGGAUGGUAAUACCCCAUAAAAUAUAAAUAUCGCAUGAUAGAUAUAUCAAAGAAAUUCGCUCAGAGAUGGGCUCGCGUCUGAUUAGAUAGUUGGUGAGGUAACGGCUCACCAAGUCGACGAUCAGUAGCCGGACUGAGAGGUUGAACGGCCACAUUGGGACUGAGACACGGCCCAGACUCCUACGGGAGGCAGCAUG